rnacentral:ribozyme from 13 species
GCAAGAGAGAGAGAAAGAAGAGAAGGAAUCUGUUGAAAAAAGAGUCGACCAUGUCUUGAGGUCCUUGAUUCUCUUUCUUUUCUUUCAUUUCUCUCUCU